CACUGCUGCGUGCCUCUGUGGGGAACAACGGGGUCAUCAACCUGAGGAGCUUGGCUGCCAGAGGGGAUGGCAGCUGCCAGCUCUGCGGUCAUCCCUACAUGCCAGCAGGAUGAGGAGCUGGCUGCCUGCAGCCAGCACGGGGCCAGUUGGGCUCAGCACCCAGCUGGGUCUGUGGGUGCUCUGCACCCAUCCUGAGCAUGGGGCUGAGCUCUGGCUGGCCAGCCUCAUACUUCGCUUUCUGCCUUAGUUUGUACACACCAGAGUGUUGACUUGGAGACUGUUUCUAGUUUGGGGGGGGGGGGGGGGGGCGCGGUUUGAGCCUGUACCUACUUCAUCAAGGACCGUACUAUCAGUCAUUGCCAAUGUUGCACCCUUAGGACAAGCCUCUGAUUUCCAAAACGAUGUGCCUGCUCUGUGUCCUAGUCUGCUUGCUGUCGGUCCACCAGCCAUCCUGCUGCAUGUUUUCUGCUUAGCCCCCUUGUGCUAGUUCAAACGGGCUCUUUCAGAGGUACAGUAGGAACAGCCAGGGGACCACGUUCUGUGAGGAGUGUACAGAGCAUCCCAUUUUCACCUGCCCUAAAGUGGGAAAAUGUGUCCACUGACCCCUCAGAGGAAGACAAGGCUCCUGGCACUGGCAGGUGGCACAGCUUGGUCUUGGAAGAGCAAGCAGAAGAGGGAGCUGAAAAGCAGUGGGUGCACUCCUGAGCUCCUCCCAGCACACCCAGAGAGGGGCAAGAGCAUUACAAAAUCAUGGCGACCAUAAAAACUCAGUGCUUCUGAUCAUAUGGCAAUUUGCAUUUACACUUUAAUUGCUACGGACACAUAGUGCUCCACCCACGUUUGCAAGUGAAGGACUACAAAAAGAAGCCGUGAACAUGGUGUGUUCCCAAUAAAAAGCUCACUCACGUGGGCAAAACCUCCUUGUCAUGCAACAACAGCAAAUAAGGACAGCAAAGCUCACAGGUGGCACUGGAGAACGCCCUGGAAUGACGCCGUGUUUUCUAGUUGAUGGGAGUUUGCGAUAGUCAGCAAGUAACUUCUGAUGUGUUAGACAAGAGCCAGAGAGUGCCAGUAACAGAGCAGUGACGUCUGUGCCCCGUCCCACUUCUCCUGAAGUGCUCCCUGCUUUGGUCAAAGGGUAAGGUGCCAGGCGUGGCUGGGCUUAGGUCCUGACUUGCUGUUGUGGCAGUUCCCCGGGGCUGGAUGCCUGUUGUACAUUAACUAACCUGUACUAUAGAAGAAAGGUCAUGUAUGCAACCUGGAGAAAAAAAACACCAAAAAAACACCGAGUCAUCUGUGCUACAUGUUUCAGACCUGAGCUGACCCAGGUUUCCAUGGAAUUGUGCUUCUGUACUGGGCAGUCACCCCACGGUGUGAAAUGUUGGUACAAACGAUGUCAUUGUGCUACAUGCAGGAGAUAUAUUGGCAAGAUCCACGUUACAAGGCCUGGUUCUGGCCAUCAUCUGAUCCUUUCUGAACAUACUGUCAAGGCAGUUGAUCUCAAUUCUAGUGCUGUGCCUUUUGGGUUUGCUUUGGUGCAGUAUGACAUUCAGGAUUCCUUUACAGGCAACUGUGCAGAGCAGGAAAAAUCUACGUGAAAUGCUGCCUACUGGAGUCACCAUCUGGCCAAUAUUCAUCUUGUUUAGUGAAAUACCAAGGUAUCCAUAGAACGCAGGUGUUAAUGCAGAUCAUAAGGCACAAGUGACCGCAGUAAUAAACCAACAUGCAAUGAAAUGUAAUUAACGCACCUGGUGCUUGGGUUUGAAAAGAAUUUCAGUGCCUUUUUAUUUUCCCUGCACACUGAUAUGCAUUUUAAUAGUUGGAACUUCAAUCAUCACUUCUCAACCAACCCUUUAAUCAUAUUAAUUCCCUUAAAAAGUGAACUAUAAUGUUUGCUAGUAAAUAGUAUUUCAUAAUUUAAUUGGGAGGAGAGAAAAAAGUGGAAGCACACAUGAAACUGUGUGCUGCUUAGUAGCAUUUUUGUGGCAUGAAAAAGGCUAUUGUCCUGUUUCUGUUAGUCUGGUUCUGCUGCUGGCAAAGGUUUGUUUUCAGUCGUGUAAUCCUUGUUGAUACGUUCCGAGUGCUUUUGAACCAGCUGGAACAAGUGAAAAGAUCCCAGGCAAGAAAAUAAAUGAUUAAGCUUUCUAUCACUGGA